rnacentral:rRNA from 1 species
ACGGAAGGCAGCAGUGGGGAAUAUUGCACAAUGGGGGAAACCCUGAUGCAGCAACGCCGCGUGAGUGAUGAAGUAUUUCGGUAUGUAAAGCUCUAUCAGCAGGGAAGAUAAUGACGGUACCUGACUAAGAAGCUCCGGCUAAAUACGUGCCAGCAGCCGCGGUAAUACGUAUGGAGCAAGCGUUAUCCGGAUUUACUGGGUGUAAAGGGUGCGUAGGCGGCAUGGCAAGUCAGAUGUGAAAGACCGGGGCUCAACUCCGGGGCUGCAUUUGAAACUGCCAGGCUGGAGUACAGGAGAGGCAGGCGGAAUUCCUAGUGUAGCGGUGAAAUGCGUAGAUAUUAGGAGGAACACCAGUGGCGAAGGCGGGUAACUGGACUGCAACUGACGCUGAGGCGCGAAAGUGUGGGGAGCAAACAGGAUUAGAUACCCUGGUA